rnacentral:tRNA from 1 species
UCCCUGAUAGCUCAGUUGGUAAAGAAUCUGCCUGCAAUGCAAAAGGCCCUGGUUUGAUUCCUGGGUCGGGAA